rnacentral:rRNA from 1 species
UACGGGGGGGGCAAGCGUUGUUCGGAAUUACUGGGCGUAAAGGGCCAGUAGGCGGCCAACUAAGUCGGAUGUGAAAUCCCCAGGCUUAACCUGGGAACUGCAUCCGAUACUGGAUGGCUUGAAUUCGGGAGAGGGAUGCAGAAUUCCAGGUGUAGCGGUGAAAUGCGUAGAUAUCUGGAGGAAUACCGGUGGCGAAGGCGGCAUCCUGGACCGACAUUGACGCUGAACGGCGAAAGCUAGGGAGCAAACGGG